AUAUAAUAGGAGAGUUUCUCUCCUCCUGAGCCGACACGUCAGCAUUUUGGUGGGUCCCACUUUUAAAAAGUGUGAAAAAAUGUCAAGUCUGUGGUUCGAACCCGGAUUAUUGAGAUAUAAGCUACAACAUUUAUACCACUAAACUAAAGGAUACUUUGUACAUUGAUGGCCGAAACUACUAUAUAUUUAUGAAGGUCGGAAACCUUUGCUUCUUCGGUUUUCUCUGUGGGUCAGGCCUACAAAUGUAUUAUGAGUUUCAUUUUUAAAUGAGGUUCAUCACGUUAUAUGAAAAAAAAACAAUUAUAGUUUUCCAUAUUAUAAACUGUCUUCGUUUAACAUGAGUUAUGGUUCUUUUCAUUAUCUAUGCGUCAGAUUUACGCCUUCAGCAAGUUGUGAGACCCACGUUCAAUUUAGUUUGGUGAUUUAUUUCUCACGUUCAAUUUAGUUUGGUGAUAACUACAAAUUCUGAUGCCUGAGAGGGUAUUUUUACUUAGAGGAAGCUCAGAAACAAGAGUUUCUGCAGAAGAGUUUGGUUUCUUGAAAGAGACAUGUGACAGAUACGGUGAACACGGUCCAGUGCUACAUUUCAGGUGUAUCGAUUGUUUCAAAAUGUUACCUUUGGCAUAUGUACUAUCAGAUAGUGUCUACACAAUUCAUGGAGGCCUCUUUCAAAGCUCCUCUCGGGUCCAUGCAGAUAGCACUUUAUUGUUGGGUUCAUUAGAAGAACUUGACAAGGUUGACAUGAGACAAGUUGGUGAGAAUGAUGAUGGGAAUAUAACUCUUAACCAUGUUUUAUGGUCGUGUCUGUGGAUGGCUGAUGGUCUGAGCGAAAGUAAUUAUAAGGAACUUCUUUAGGGAGCUGAUUGCACUGAGAGUUUUCUAAAACAAUCGAACUUAAAAGAUGAUUAUAAGAUCACAUGAAGGCCCUGAUGCAAGAUCAAAUCGAGAAUACAUGGAAAACAUGCUAUGCGGAUACUCAGUAGAUUAUGGAGUAGAAUCUGGAGAGCUUUAUACAAUCUUCAGUGCUUCACAUCUCUCACAAGUCACUUCCCUUAAACAAAGAGAAUCCGAAUGCAACCUGUUCUACUGCUUUUCUAACUGUCUAUAUUCACUCCACAUCUUCCACAUGAAUUUUUAUUAUUACUCUUCUUAACUACUACUAAAGAUGAAUACUUUCUCAACAGAUUCUCUUUUCUAUUGUUUCAGUUAUCAUCGUCUGACUACUAUAAAUGUGUGGCUUACAACGCCUGCAGCCCUCAUAACAAUUCCCUAAACAGAUCUGUAUUCUCAUUUGCUCUUCCUCACUGUAUUUUUUUUUUUAAUUCCUUCCUCAUUAUUUUCAACUCGAGGUUGAGAACUUCUGUUUCUUGAGAUCAAAAUCAGCAAUGUUCUUAUUGGCAUGGUUAAUACUGGAGUUGUUAGGUGCACUGUCUAUGAUGAAUCUUACCAAAUGGAGAAAAUAUUAGAUUUUUUCGGCAAGAACAUGUUUUCGUUGAUCCAAAAUUGAUCGAAAACAAUAUUGUUUGGAUUACUCUAGCACUCUAAAGCUUCCGCUACAAGCAAUUGUGACUACAACACCAUCCUCACUUGCAAGGACCUCAACAUCACUUUUGACGAUUACUUUGUAGCGAAGGAUUUCAAUUUCAAGCCUUUGGUUCAGAACCCACCUCAAGCUAAGAAGUACAAAAACUUCAUGGAAAAUUGCUCGAGGGGAACAACCUUGACUUUCAUUACGUAAAGCAACACUUCCAUCAACGACCCCGCGCUUGCGCGGGGUAUACGCACCUAGUUCAAACAUAAUAAAUUGGUGUGCAUGCAUGUUUUAAUUGUAUAGAGUAAAAAACAGUAAUGAUUCAUGUUUAGUAUGCAUGACUAUGUUAUGUAUGUUAGUUGUAAAUGAUUAAAAAAGUAAUGUAGUUAAAGCAAUACUCAAUAGAAUUUUUUUUUUUUUUUUUUUUUUGAAACACUCAAUACUCAAUAGAUUAAAUUUGAAUUUAUGG